rnacentral:rRNA from 1 species
CGGACGGGUGAGUAACGCGUGGGAAAACCUGCCGUAUACUGGGGGAUAACACUUAGAAAUAGGUGCUAAUACCGCAUAAGCGCACAGCUUCGCAUGAAGCGGUGUGAAAAACUCUGGUGGUAUACGAUGGUUCCGCGUCUGAUUAGCUAGUUGGUGGGGUAAUGGCCUACCAAGGCAACGAUCAGUAGCCGGCCUGAGAGGGUGAACGGCCACAUUGGGACUGAGACACGGCCCAAACUCCUACGGAAGGCAGCAG